rnacentral:rRNA from 1 species
GACGAACGCUGGCGGCGUGCUUAACACAUGCAAGUCGAACGGAAAGGCCCUGCUUUUGCGGGGUGCUCGAGUGGCGCACGGGUGAGUAACACGUGAGUAACCUGCCCUUGAAUUUGGGGUAACUUCUGGAAACUGGGGCUAAUACCGGAUAGGAGCUCCUGCUGCAUGGUGGUGGUUGGAAAGUUUCGGCGGUUGGGGCUGGACUCGCGGCUUAUCAGCUUGUUGGUGGGGUAGUGGCUUACCAAGGCUUUGACGGGUAGCCGGCCUGGGAGGGUGACCAGGGUCAUGGGGACUGAGGGACGGCCCAGACGCCUACGUGACGCAGCGGUGGAGAGUAUGGCACAAUGGGCGGAAGCCUGUGGCGACGGCGCCGCGUGCGUGAUGACGGCCUUCGGGUUGUAAACCGCUUUCGCCUGUGACGAAGCGGGAGUGACGGUAAUGGGUAAAGAAGCACCGGCUAACUACGUG